AACGAACGCUGGCGGCAGGCUUAACACAUGCAAGUCGAACGCCCCGCAAGGGGAGUGGCAGACGGGUGAGUAACGCGUGGGAAUCUACCGUACCCUACGGAACAACAGUUGGAAACGACUGCUAAUACCGUAUACGCCCUACGGGGAAAGAUUUAUCGGGGUAUGAUGAGCCCGCGUUGGAUUAGCUAGUUGGUGGGGUAAAGGCCUACCAAGGCGACGAUCCAUAGCUGGUCUGAGAGGAUGAUCAGCCACAUUGGGACUGAGACACGGCCCAAACUCCUACGGGAGGCAGCAGUGGGGAAUAUUGGACAAUGGGCGCAAGCCUGAUCCAGCCAUGCCGCGUGAGUGAUGAAGGUCUUAGGAUUGUAAAGCUCUUUCACCGAUGAAGAUAAUGACGGUAGUCGGAGAAGAAGCCCCGGCUAACUUCGUGCCAGCAGCCGCGGUAAUGUGACUACUG
rnacentral:rRNA from 1 species